rnacentral:rRNA from 1 species
GACGAACGCUGGCGGCGUGCUUAACACAUGCAAGUCGAACGGAAAGGCCCCUUUGGGGGUACUCGAGUGGCGAACGGGUGAGUAACACGUUAGUAACCUGCCCUUGACUUCGGGAUAACUUCAGGAAACUGGGGCUAAUACCGGCUAGGAAUCCUUGCUGCAUGGUGGGGGUUGGAAAGCUUCGGCGGUUUUGGAUGGUCUCGCGGCUUAUCAGCUUGUUGGUGGUGUAGUGGCUUACCAAGGCUUUGACGGGUAGCCGGCCUGAGAGGGCGACCGGCCACAUUGGAACUGAGAGAAGGCCCAGACUACGACGAGAGGCAGCAGUGGGGAAUAUUGCACAAUGAGCGGAAGCCUGAUGCAGCAACGCCGCGUGCGGAAUGACGGCCUUCGGGUUGUAAACCGCUUUCAGCAGGGGCGAAGCUUGUGGUGACGGUACCUGCAGAAGAAGCACCGGCUAACUACGUG